AUCACAGUCAUUUCCACUGUACAGAAGGUUAUCCAACACAAUUGUUGCAUCAUUUAAGGUUGGAGAUCAUGUGAUGGAAAUGAUUCUGUAGUGCAAAUAUUUAUGCCGGAUCAGAAAAUGACAAAAAUGUAUUCUUCUAUGUCCAAAAGUGUCCAUAGUUGAUGAAACCCAGUUGAAGAUAAACUCUUGAUAAAUGAACU